GAAGUAUUGACCCAGAAUUCUAGAUUCCACAGCAAUAUCUUUCAGGAGUGAAAGAGACAGAUGAAGAAAGUUUAAGAUAACUUGUGGCCAGUAGGCCUGCUUUAAAAUAAAUACUGAAGGAAGCUUUUCAGAACUAAGAAAAAUUAUACCAGACAGAUAUUUGGAACAUUGAGAAUGAAGGAAGAGCAAAGGAAAUGGUGACUAUCUAGCUUUAGGGGUACAAAUGAUUGUUGGUUACCUGGAUGAAUUGUAUAGCGGUGCAGUCUGGGGUUUUUGUGUACCUGUCAUCCUAAUAGUGUACACUGUAUACAAAAGGUAUUUGCUGAUUUGCUAGCUGUGGCUAAAAGGCUGAGAGACUGACCAGAGAUUUUACAAACCCAUGGAGCUCUGGGAACAAAAUUGGAGUUCAUGGCUUGUCAAAAUGAGAGACUUGAUAAACAUUGAGGAUUUCAGCAGAAAACUCCAAUAUUCUAUGCUCUGGGGUACACGUAAAGCCUUCACAAAGCUUUCACAAAGAGAAAAGCUCUCAUAAAGACUCAGGGCCAACUUUCAGUUAUCUUCAUCUCAGAGAUCUGCUUUACUUGAGUUGCCUGCAAAAUUAAAAAGUAUUGCCUCUGCAGAAAGGCUGCAUCAUCCAGAGGCUCAAAUGACCUCUACAAUAUUCCAAGUACAAUGCCCAGCAUUCAAUAAAGAUAAACAGCCAUUGACUGGAUAUUUAGUUAAAGAAAACAAUGGAAACAGACUCAUGGGAAAUCUAGUUAUUAAAUAUGUCAGAACAAUAAAAUAACUGUUUUUAGUGUGUUCAAUAAAUUAAGAUACCAAGAUCAUGUUAUCAGGAAACAGGAAACUUUAAAAAGCUACAAUAAAAAUUCUAGAACACCAAACAAGGAAAAUAAAGAUUUCAAAACACUUUCAAAAACUCAAAAAUUUUGUCAGCAAUUUAGAUGUAGCUUAAAAGAAAAUUAAUAAAGUGGAAGACAGGUUAGAAUAAAAUAUCCAAUAAAUUGAGAACAUAUGAAAAAUAUUAAGUAGACUAUAAGACACACGUGAGCCACAGUGGGAAGGUCUGCCAUACAUAUAAUUGCAGUCCCAAAUGCAGAGGUAAAAGAGAGGGUGGCAGAUGCAAUCUUUGAAGGCAAUAACCACUGCCCCCCCCCACCCCACCCAAGUUUCAGAAUUGGCAAAAGACAUUAAGCCAUAGGAGAAACAAAUUACUAAAGCAUAUCCCAGGCCCAUCCUGGUAAAACUGCCAAAGCUAGACAGAGAGAUACUUCCCAAUGUGUUUCAUAAGGCCAGCAUAACCUUAAUACCCAAGCUUGACAAAUGUUUAAAAGAAAAAAAAGUAUAGAACAAUUUAUUUCAGGAAUAUAAACGUAAAUAUACUGAAUAAAAAUCAGCAAAAUGAAUCUAGCAGUGCAUAGAGAUAAUACAUCAUAGCCAUGUUGGUGUUCUUUCAGGAAUUUUAGUUGGAUUUAACAUUAGAAAGUUAUUCCUUGGAACAUUCUAUCAAGUCAGAAUAAAAGGGAAAAACUACAUGACACAGCAGAUAAAGCAAAGUAUUUGAUAAAAUUCAACACCAAAGUAAUACAACAAUUUUAGAAGACUAGAAGUAAGUCAAUUAUUUAAUAUGUAAAAGAAUAUUUACUGGAAAGAAACAACAAAAAGCAUCAUACUUAUCAAAAACUUUUCUCUUGAGAUCUAGAAGGAGAAAAGAAUGCCUAUUAUUACCAUUUGUGAUCAGUAUUUUACUUGACUUUUUAACCAGAAAAAAGGGCAAGAAACUGAAUGUAGAAUUGGAAAGCGAUAAAUAAAACUGUCAUUUCUUGAAGAUGAAAUGAUUAUAUACUUAAUCCAAAAGAAAAUACAAAUACACUAUUAGAAUUAACAGGUGAAUUUGGCAGGGUUUUGGAAAUGAGUCAAUAUGCAAAAAUCAACUAUAUUUCUUUGGGAUGUUCCCAAUAUCUGGAAACAUAUAUUCUUUUCUCCUGUAUUGUAAUAUAAUAUCAAUAAAUCAUUUACCAAGUAUUUGUCUAUCUUUUCGUA